rnacentral:rRNA from 1 species
GACGAACGCUGGCGGCGUGCUUAACACAUGCAAGUCGAACGGUCAUGCUCUGCUUUUGUUGGCGGCUCGGUUGGUAAACGGUUGCUUAACUCGUGCGUAGCCUCCCCUUGCCUUUCGGAUAGCUUCCUGAAACUGGGGCUACUACCGCAUACUAUCUCCUCCUUCAUGGUUUGGCUUGGAAAGGUUCGGCGGUCGGGGAUGGACUCGCGUCUUAUCAGCUUGUUGGGGGGGUAGUGGCUUACCAAGGCGUUGACGGAUAGCCGGCCUGAGAGGGUGACCGGACACAUUGGGACUGAGAUACGGCACAGACUACUACGGGAGGCAGCAGUGGGGAAUAUUGCACAAUGGGCGGAAGCCUGAUGCAGCAACGCCGCGUGCGGGAUGACGGCCUUCGGGUUGUAAACCGCUUUCGCCUGUGACGAAGCGUGAGUGACGGUAAUGGGUAAAGAAGCACCGGCUAACUACGU